rnacentral:misc_RNA from 1 species
GAUGAAGAACGUAGCGAAAUGCGAUAAGUAGUGUGAAUUGCAGACUUUAGUGAAUCAUCGAAUCUUUGAACGCACAUUGCGCCCGCCAGUAUUCUGGCGGGCAUGCCUGUUCGAGCGUCAUUACAACCCUCAGGCCCCCGGGCCUGGCGUUGGGGAUCGGCGGAGCCCCCCGUGGGCACACGCCGUCCCCCAAAUGCAGUGGCGGUCCCGCCGCAGCUUCCAUCGCGUAGUAGCUAACACCUCGCGACUGGAGAGCGGCGCGGCCACGCCGUAAAACACCCAACUCUUCUGAAGUUGACCUCGAAUCAGGUAGGAAUACCCGCUGAACUUAAGCAUAUCAAUAAGCGGAGGA